UACGUAGGGGGCAAGCGUUGUCCGGAAUCAUUGGGCGUAAAGCGCGCGUAGGCGGCCCGGUAAGUCCGCUGUAAAAGUCCAGGGCUCAACCCUGGAAAGCCGGUGGAUACUGUCGGGCUAGAGUCCGGAAGAGGCGAGUGGAAUUCCUGGUGUAGCGGUGGAAUGCGCAGAUAUCAGGAGGAACACCGAUGGCGAAGGCAGCUCGCUGGGACGGUACUGACGCUGAGGCUCGAAAGCGUGGGGAGCGAACAGG
rnacentral:rRNA from 1 species